rnacentral:rRNA from 1 species
AGUCGAUUCGAUUUACCUUCGGGUAUUGAGGAUGGCGGACGGGUGAGUAACGCGUAAGGAACUUGCCUCUUGGACUGGGACAACUGUUGGAAACGACAGCUAAUACCGGAUAUUAUGAGAUUCUCGCAUGAGAAAUUUAUGAAAGCUAUAUGCGCCAAGAGAGAGCCUUGCGUUCCAUUAGCUAGUUGGUGGGGUAAUGGCCCACCAAGGCGACGAUGGAUAGCCGGCCUGAGAGGGUGAACGGCCACAAGGGGACUGAGACACGGCCCUUACUCCUACGGGAGGCAGCAGUGGGGAAUAUUGGACAAUGGGCCACAAGCCUGAUCCAGCAAUUCUGUGUGCACGAUGAAGGUCUUCGGAUUGUAAAGUGCUUUCAGUUGGGAAGAAGAAAGUGACGGUACCAACAGAAGAAGCGACGGCUAAAUACGUGCCAGCAGCCGCGGCAAUACGUAUGUCGCAAGCGUUAUCCGGAUUUAUUGGGCGUAAAGCGCGUCUAGGCGGAAAAAUAAGUCUGAUGUUAAAAUGCGGGGCUCAACUCCGUAUUGCGUUGGAAACUGUUUUUCUAGAGUACUGGAGAGG